rnacentral:lncRNA from 11 species
UGGAAGUUAGGCAGUUCAGUGGUGUUUGGUCAUAAUUACACUUGAGUCCUGGCUAUAUAACCUCCCAGGAGGCAUAUAAACUGUGAGAGAGACUGUAGCUUCAUUUCCUUCACCACCAAGCAGCAGCGAAAAAACGACGAAUGAAAAUAGUGGGGAGGAUGGGUGGGGAUGUGCGAAUUUCACAGAUGAUCACUCGAAGAAACAGUUACAGGAGUGUCCUGGAGAUAUUUUCACAGAAGCUUCUCCAAGGGAAGAUAUUGCUGGACUGCAAUUCUUGCAUCUUCAGCCAUGGGGAAUGCUAGGAUCUGCAAUUCAGCAAGUUCUGGAAGACUGCAUGGCUUCCAUCCCUGUACUACAGGAAAUAGCACCAGUUGCUACAAAAAUCAUAGGUAUUCUCCUAAUCUGCUAUAAGAUACUUUUACUUUCUAUCUUCAUUUGUUUGAAUAUGAACUAAUGCUCUAAGCAGGGCAUCUUUGAUUAACAUACAUUUGUGGUGUCAUGUAGGGCGAACAGAUUGCUACUUAUCCAGUUUGCUAUUUACUGCCAGUGGUGAAGAGAGGUUGCUUGACAUAAGAUACCUUCUCAUCUAUUCCAACUAUCAUCAUCAUGUCCUUGGAUAAAACACCGGAGGAGGUAGAACUGGGAGAGAUCUAAGGGUCAUCUUGUACAAUCCCUUGCCAGGGAAGAAAACUCACAACGAGACCAUCCCUCAUUCUCCAAACUAUAUGUAAGAA